UAAAAUCACAAAUGAUUAAUAUCAAAUAAAUGAGCUACAAUUAUUAAACCAACAGUAUCAUUGAAUUUAAUAUAAAUUGUUGUAAACCAUAUGAUUAAAUUUUAUCCCUUUUCAUAAGUUUAAUGGUAAAAGAUAUACAGUUGACUAUGAAGGAAGUGUGUGAUGUGGUGUGCCAUUGAGCAUUAAAUCCAAAACAGAUAAACUACCAAAGGGGCAGUUCAGUGAUGUAAUGAAGAAUGAAGUCGAAGACAAAGCAGUCAGUUUCUCAACAUUAACCUAAGACAAAGACAGGAAGGUAGAAGGCAUUGAAAAUGUAACUACAUAACAGCACUCACAGUAGUAGAAUAGUAGAUCACUGGUACAGACUAAAGAAAAAAUAAAAGAAAAGACCACUGCCACUACUAAUUAACCCAAUCCUUGUUAGCUAAAUCAUAAAUAUAGCAUGUUACCCUUUUCCUCUCUCUCUUCUAUUUAUUUACUAUCCUCACCUAUUGAUCUUAGACCCCAUUUUCAAUCACUACCACCACCAUCCCCAGCAGCAGCAGCAGCUUCAACUGGAGCUAUAGAGCCUCAUUACCUUCUCUGAGACAUACAUCAAACACUUGUGUUUUCGUUUCUUUAAACCGUAAGAAGUACCUCUUUUAUCACUCUUUCUCUGGGGAGCCAUGGCCAUGAAGGCAAGCAAGAAGAUGAAGGGCGGUGGUUUCAUGUGCCACUCUACAGCAGCAACUGCGGUAUGCACAGUAAGUGGUCCUCGUUCUGCCAUUGUGCCAAGAAGGCCUAACAGAACCACCAUGGUUAUUGAACACUCAAGGUUGAAAAAGACAACAGCUUCUGCUGCCGCUGCCGCUGCCGCUAUCACUCCCAAGUACUCGAGACUCCUAGAGUCUCCUUUGAUUCUUCCAGCUGCUAUCACUAACAGACCAUCAUCGGUCGAGAAAGAA
rnacentral:lncRNA from 1 species